UACGAAGGGGGCUAGCGUUGUUCGGAAUUACUGGGCGUAAAGGGCGCGCAGGCGGCCCUCCAAGUCAGGCGUGAAAGCCCCGGGCUCAACCCGGGAAUAGCGCUUGAGACUGGGGGGCUUGAGUUCGGGAGAGGAGAGUGGAAUUCCCAGUGUAGAGGUGAAAUUCGUAGAUAUUGGGAAGAACACCAGUGGCGAAGGCGGCUCACUGGCCCGGGUACUGACGCUGAGGUGACGAAAGGCGUGGGGAGCAAACAGG
rnacentral:rRNA from 1 species